rnacentral:lncRNA from 1 species
CCACAGUAUAUCAAAGACUCAUGACUACUAAGACUUGUAGGAAUUUGUUGAUAGUAUGUCAGAGUUGUACUUUGUUAUUAUAAAAGACUGGUGACUUCUUGUGUGUGUAUGUGUGUGUGUGAUUGUUUUGUGUUCAUGUGUAUGUUUGUGAGUGUGUGUUCAUGUGUGUGUGUUGUGUUUGAGUGUGUGGUGUCUUCUGUGUAUGUGUAUGGUGUGUCUGUGUUCAUGUGUGUGGAGUGUGUAUGUAUGUGGUUUCUGGUCACUGGCUCCUUCCUAGCUCUGGAGUCUUGGAUGUUCUUCCUGAAAUAUGAGUCUCUUCCCUUUCCUGGUCUGAUAUCAAUGAACUGUUAGUAACUGAUCAUCACCCUUGCAAAUGAAGGGAACCAGGCUGAGACAGAGGCGCCCAACGCGGCAGCCCACUCCCCUCAGUUGCUAAGUAAUGAAUCAUUGCUGUAGUUACUAACCAGCUUAUCUGAGGAGCCUCACUAGCUGAUCCAGUAGGCUCUUGGUGUCAAUAGCAGUCUAAGUCCCAGGAGAUUUAGAGAUUCAUCUGGGAUCUGUAACAGGCAGCAGUGCAUGCAGAGGCGUGGGUAGAGUCUAGUUGUCCAUCUGGCUUCUGACUCCCGUGUGUUCUUGAGUUGAUUCCUUAUGCUCUCUGCCUCUCAGUUUCUUGUUUUCUAUCUCUGCCUCUGCCUCUGCCUCUGCCUCUGCCUCUGCCUCUGCCUCUGCCUCUGCCUCUGCCUCUGCCUCUGCCUAUCUAUCUAUCUAUCUAUCUAUCUAUCUAUCUAUCUAUCUAUCUAUUGGAUAUGGUGACUUGGCCUUCUCUUUGGUGUAGUCAUGUUCUGCACAACGGUGGAGCAAUGUCUAACUGUGUCUGUUGUGAUUCAAUUUUUUUAGGAACAGGGUAGUAAAUUGAUAUUUACCUUCCCAGAAAGCAUUGCACAGGGAUUGGUGACAAAAAUGAAGACGAUGAGGAGGUUGACAGGUGCCAGAGCACACAUACCCCCCAUGUACCCCAGGAUUUCCCCUUCGUAGGAAGAGCUGGGGCAUCUCUGUUGGCAGGCUAUGGAAAGAAGGCUUCUUACAAUUGAGGGUAUGCUGUAGGUGAGAAGAUCCCAUUUGAAGACCAAAGCAAGGCGGAGAAAGCCUCCCCCAGCUUGGAAGGGGCCUGCCCAGUCAUGCAUAUCCCCUUGUACACUCACAGUAGACAUCAUGGAAUAGCUUCCAAUUUCCUUCAAUGUGCAAAUUGUUAGAUUAUGGAGAUUCCUCUGGUAGUGACCAACUGAGAAUGGCCUUACCUCAUGGGUGCCUCACAUACUUAGAAGCCCACAGAGGGUGUAGUUUGGUUAACCACAACUUUCCUUUCAUCAUUCUGAAGUUAGAAAUCGGAUAGAAGUCAGAACCUAUGCAGUGGGUGUCAAAAGUGUGUAGUCAAAUACGUCUUGCCAACGUGGACUUUCUCUGCUUGCCUCCUGGGCUAAAACCUCCCAUUUGCUUAUGUCAGAGAAACGGGCUGAUGGCUGGCCUGCCUGGAUGAGCUUGCUAAAUGAAGGCACUAAGACUACCGAGGCCUGGGCAUGGGCAGAUGAGAAAGACCAGAAGAGCUUCCAGAGGAUACUAAACCUUCCUGGCCUGAUGGACAGCUGUGAGUCCCUGUGGCAGACAUUCCAAGAACCCUCAUGACCCCCAUCCCCAGUCUCAUAACCCCUUAAACAACACAUUCCCUUUAAUUAAGAGCAGGGCAGUCACCUGCUUCUAGUCAGCAGAUUAUGAUAAUGGUGAAGGGAUGUGGCAGAGAUAAUAAAUGGUUGAUUUGGAGAUAAUCAAGAGGGCUAUUUUCCUUGGCAAUGUUUGAUCUAGUAAAGGCCACCCCAAAGAGGGAUGGAGCAUUUUCAGAGAGAGAGGCCCUCCUGGGAGCUUGAUGGCUCAAGUUGAGAUAGCCCAAGUGCCAGUAUAGUUACUUCCAAGUACCAUGACCCAUGACUUCCCACAACCAUAAAGACAUGACCUUCCUCACCAACUGAACGAGCAUGGAAACAGAUUCCUGGUGAACAUCCAGAUGAGAGUGACUACACUCAAUGCCAUAGCCAUGGCUAUGAAUGAGACACAGGGGACCCAGGACCUACCUGCUUUGACUCUUCUCAGGAAGUUGUCAGGUAAUGAAUGCAUUUGUUCAAUUGCUCAGCUUCUGAUAUUUUGAUAUUCAAUAUUAGACAAUGAAAACUGUGCUCCUGAGAUAGGGAAGGGGGACAGCUGUAGACAGUGGAAAAGCAGGUGCAUCCGCACAGGAAGUGGUCCUGGUUGUGUGAUCUAGGUAGUCUGGGAAGAAGGAAAAUGUCACCCUCCCAUUCACACACAGUCAUAGGGCUCUGCUGACCUCUCUCUUCUUACCACGGUGGCCUCAAGCCAUUCCUAUUACUUCUUUUUCUGAUUGGAUUUUUGAAAGGGAGAGUUGAUUGGAAACCAGAGACAUGCCACAUUAGUGUCUGCACCUCCGAGGGAGGUUUCAUCAUGUCUAAGGCCAUGCAUCCUUACUUUCCCAGCUUUUUUUUUUUCUCAGUCUCCCUUCUGUUCCAAGAGAUGUGUAACCGUCAUUCCAGCUUUUUAAGACACAUUAUAACAAGCUACCCAGAGCUGAUCUCCAUAACUUAAAUAUUUUAACGUAUGAUGCGUUUCCUCACCAGCCUAAUUAUGUCUAAGUUGGUCCUAUCACACUGCCCAUCACUUUGUUCCUCCAAUCUUCCUGUCCUUUUCCCGUGGUUAAUGAUCCUGCAGAGAAAUGGGUCAUCAGGCCAAAACAUUUUACCUGAAAGUUACCACUUAUAACCCUAAAACUGACUAAAAGAGAAUGAGUGUGUAUAUAAGAGUAUUGUGGGUGCGGGCAUGAGUGUGUAUAUAUCAUUAAGUGCAGGUGGGUAUGUGAGUGUGAAUAUAUAAAUGUAUGUAAGUAUAUGUAUGUGAUAGGAAGAAUAAAUGUGUAUGUAUAAGUGAAUGUGUGUAUAUGUGUGAAUGUGAAUAUGUGUGUGAUAGAAAGAAUGAGUGUGUGGGUAUAAGUGUACAUAUGUAUAUGUGUGAGUGUGAAUGUGAAUAUGUGUGUGAUAGAAAGAAUGAGUGUGUGUGUAUAAGUGCAUGUGUGUAUAUGUGUGAGUGCGAAUAAAUGUGUGCAGUUGUGUGCUUGUGUGUACACUGAAACUAUGGGCUAUAGUUAAGAGGCCGCGUCUAACCAAUCAGAGGAACAGUGACAAGGCAGGAUGUAGGCAGCAGCAGAGGAAAUGCAACAGAUGUGACAAAUGAUUGUGUUAGACAACAGAACACACUCAAAGGCAAAUUGGUUGUUGGAGGCAGUAAAGAAAGGGGAGGCGUUUGGGGCUCUCAUGAUGAUGUCUCUAGUUAAAGGCCUUGGGAGAAUGAUGCAUCAUUGGCUUAGCUGAGACACGGGGAGAACAAUGAAGUUGAUUUUGAACGCACCGGAGAAGGUAUGUUUGCUGGGGAUGGAGGCAGCUGUUUCUGAAGCUCCUAACAUGGAGGAAGGACAUUGCAGUGACCAGAAGAGAAAGAGGAUAUUCUGGGACAGGGUCAAGACCCCUGCUGAUGCUCCCAGGCAAAGAGUUAAGGCUUAGGUUGGAACAGUCCCAGCUCCAUCUGCAGGGCUGGCCCUGGUUCCCAGGUCUCCUGUCACAUUGACACCCCUCUCUGCUUGUCACGAGUCAGGCACUGACAGCCUCAAUGGUGCUGGCGAUUUAUCAGAGAGUGGAAAAAGAUAAUUGACCAUCAUCUCGCCUCACCUCACCUCGCCUCCGCUGAUAGAGAAAAAUUUAACUGCUUCAUUCCACUAUAAUUUCACAUAAUUCUCCAUCUUUCUCUCCCACGUUUUUACAUGGAAGUUUACAAAAGUGAUUGAUGAUUUGCUAUCAAAUAUAAAGAAAAAGAAGCUAAACUAUCACCGGACAGUUUAACAGCCUUUAAAAUAUAAUGGUUUCUCUGGCUGGACAUCCACAGUUGCCGUAGAAUCUCAGAAGGUCAAGCUUUAAUGAACUGGAUCCCCCACAGGAUCUGGGACUCACUGAUUUGGCGAGACUGUCUGUCCAGUGAACUCCAGGGAUGCUCUAGUUUCUAAACAAUGGGAUUGCAGGCAUUUGCUGACCCAGCUUUUGUACUUCGUUCUGGGGAUCUAAAUUGAGGUCCUUAUGAUUGUGUAGCAAGCACUUUACCCACUGAGCCAUCUCCCCAGUCCCUCUGACUCAGACACACCUAACCUAACCUAUAGUUCCAGGGCGGUGCUGCCCUUUAUAGCCAGAGAAGGCAAGCUCUCCGUUGCCAUCGCUUCUGGUCCCUGACUUGCUUCCUUGUCCUGUUUUGGCAGUGAAGAAUCGCUCCAUAGCCUCCUUUGCAUACAAACCUCCCAGCUUAUCUGUGUCUAGGAGGAGGACCGGCACUUAGCUUCUGUAUGUCAUCCACUCCACACCAUGCUCUCUACACGGUCUUGAUGAGUGUUUUUCUUUAAUUCUUGAGGUUGUUAUUGUAAUAUUUACAUAUAGUGCAAGAAUGUAAAGUUCAGAAAUCAUGGCUAGUGGCUAAAAAGAUUCCCGGUGAUCCCUACUUCUCAGUGUCUGUGCCCUUGUCUAACUGCCCUCUUUGGAGGGUGGGCAGGGUGCUGUGGCUUGUUUCUAAUGUGCAGAAUAUGGUAGGUGAUGGGAUGUCACUUCCAGGAUUAGGAUUAUAAAGUGACUGUCCUUUCCAAGUGUCUCUUUACUGCUUGAUGUGUAUGGACGCUUGCUGCCAUGACGUGCGCUGCCUGGCAGAAAGACCUGGAUGGCAAGGGACCAAGGAAGGCAUCCAGCCAGCAUCCUGGGCUGACCUGAAUGAUGGCACCGGCUUCAUGGCAGACCUCAGCUGAGCCUUGAGUGAAACUGCAGUUUAUGCUGUCACCUCGAUUGCCACCCGUGACACCCCGAGAAGACACUCCUGGAUCCAUGACUCACAGAAACUAUACAAUCGAACAUGCAUGCUAUUUGACAAGGCCAUGUUUUAUUGUCCUUUGCUACCCAGACUCAAAAUUGGGACUGCUUGUUGUUAAAGUAUUGUGAUAUUUAUAAUAACACUAUUUUGACUUAGAAAAGAUCAGAGGGACUAGAGAGAUAACUCAGGAGGAAAAAGGUCUUGCCAUAUAGUAUAAGUACUUGAGUUUGAAUCCCCUGCAUGAAAAGCCACUCAUGUGUGUGCAACACCCAUGCCCCGCCCCCAUAACACACACACACACACACACACACACACACACACACACACACACACAAACGUGCGCACAACCGAGACUGGCAUGCACUUGUAGCUCCAAAAUGAGUGCUCUUUUGCUAGCAGAGUUCCGAGAGGUCCAGAGGGUCAGGGUCUCAUAUGUCCCGUGGUCUUCACCGCACUGUUGAGCCUUGUGGUGUGGUUGCAGCCUGGAGUCUGGAGGAUGGUGACUGCUUCUCCACAGAGCUCUUUCCCAUUAGACAGACGGUUCUGGAACAUCUGCCCAGAAGUAGUCCAGUUGAUUUAAGGAUCUUUGCUUUUAAUUUUUGGUGCCUUUCAGAGGAAAGAGAAAAAUAAGGUUAGUUUCCUGAAGUGUAAUUGCUUCGGGCAGUUAUUUAUUAAUGAAAAGGAACAACAUGUCAACAAGGCCCAGGCUUGCUUUAGGACUAAUGUUAGCUGAGGUGCAGGCUAGAGGAAAGGUAAGCCUGCUGUCACUCUGCAUUUGUCCAGUUCUGUGGUCACCUAUUAAUUAUCUGUGCACUGGGCUCUGGCAGGGGACAGUUUUCACUUCCUCCCCACUGAGGGUUACUGAGCUCUGGGGGACAUGAGAAGCAACUUCUCUGACACAGGCUUCCUGGAGGAGUUUCUAGAUCUGGGAAAUCCUCUCAAGAUUCUGCCACCUGCCCCAGGAUGAAAAGAGGAAGAGACAGAGCUCUAGGGGUAUUUUUGAAGACAUGGGGUGCAGAGCUUUGACCUCCAUCUCUCUGGCAUGAAAAAGAAUGGCUUUUAGUCAGUACUUCAGAGUCCAGAGAAACACCAAUGUGAUAAUGUACUUAAAACUUAAAUGAUAUAAAGCACUCUGCAAUCUCCACUCCCCUCUCUCGGUGUGUGUGUGUGUGUGUGUGUGUGUGUACAUGUUCCUGUGAGUUUAGUCAGCUGAGGUCAGGCUCAGGGAAUAAUACAAACUAGAUAAUGAACACUUGACCAGAAAUUGCAAAGUGCCUGUCAAAGGUUCUGUAAACUGCAGUGAAUAGAAUUUCUGUCUGAUCGUAGUUUAGUCCACAAAGAUGCUCAUGAUUCCUUGACUUGGGUAGCCCCACAGCUCUCUGUUGUGACCAAGCAUUCAGGCAUGCUGCCAUCUUCGGGCAUGGACUUUGACCUCAUGGACCCCAAUAUACUACAUGUAAGCAAACCAUUAGCUAUAUUCUAUGUUAUUGUGAAAGGCAAUUAUUAUGCAGAAGACCCUGAGCAGAAUCACUACAGCUGUUCAGAACUGGUCAUACUAAUAUGCUUCUUGUGUAGUGUCUGGAGAAAGUAUGUAUCUUUCCUUUGUUUGUUUGUUUUUCCAUCAUCAACAGAGAGAAAUAAGCAAGAACAUCUACAAAAAUCACAUGGAUGUUAGAAUAGGAAGGAAACUUAGAGACGAUCUGAAUUAACACCAUAAAAAGACAUGAAAAGCCCAGAGGGUUCACUAGCCUAUCCAAAUUCACCAAGUGUAUAGACAGUACUAUAUAGUACUUUAUAUUUAGAAGAAAACUAAAGAUAGAACAUUGGCAUAUUUCACAUGGGUUAAAAGGGAUUCGAACCAAAGAUACAUUUGUUUAGGAUUUCCAAAAACAUCUGUUGCUUCUUUCUACCAAGUUGUAUGGUUUUUCUCCUUUAGUUUUAUCUCCUCUUACUCUUUUUUGGAAAAUAAAAGCAAAUGAACUUGCAGAAGGAAUGUGGUAACUAUUGUCCUCUGGGGGCUGUCUAUAGACUUAGGGUGAACAAAUUCAGAAAACCCAUACAUGUCUUUACUCCACAGUCAUGAAAUGUUAACUUAACAUGAAGAAACGACGGGGUUAAUUCCGAACCUCCUGUAGAUGCUUGGUCAUUGUUCAGGUCUUGCCCAUUCCCAAGUUAUGCCCUAUGGGAGGCAGGAAAUGAAUACAAUUCACCUCAACCCGACUCAA